rnacentral:sRNA from 1 species
UGACCACUUCCUUAGAAAGUUAAGGCCAUACGGACAGCCGGGUCAAAUGCCGA